CAUUGGGGUCUAUGGGGACAUUAGAGUCAAUGGGGUCACUGGGGUCAAUGGGGGUCAUUGGGGUCAGUGGGGGCCGUAGGGGUCUUUGUGGCCAUUGAAUUAAAUGGGGUUAUUAGAGUGAAUAGGGUCAUUGGGAUCAAUGGGGUCAUUGGAGUAAAUAGGGUCAUUGAAGUGAAUGGGGUCAUUGGAUUCAAUCGGAUCAUAAGGGUCAAUGUGGUCCCUGCGGCAAUGGGGGUCAUUAGGGUCAAAGGGUGUUAUUGGGGUCAUUGUAGUCAGUGGAAUCAUUGGGGUCAAUUGGUUCAUUGGGGUCAAUUGGCUUAAUGCGGUCAGUGGUGGUUAUUGGAGUCAAUGGAGUCAUUGGGAUUAAUGGGGUCAGUGGGGUCAAUAGGGUCAUAUGAGCUUAAUGGGGUCACUGGGGUCAGUAGGGUUAAUGGGUUUAAAUAGGGUCAUUGUAGUCAAUGGAGUCAUUGGGGUCAAUUGGUUCAUUGGGGUCAAGUGGCUUAAUGCGGUCAGUGGGGGUUAUUGGAGUCAAUGGAGUCAUUGGGAUUAAUGGGGUCAGUGGGGUCAAUAGGGUCAUAUGAGCUUAAUGGGGUCACUGGGGUCAGUAGGGUUAAUGGGUUGUUGGGGUCUUAUGGGGUCAUGAGUAUCAUUAGGAUCUUUGGGAUCGGUGGGGUCAGUGGGGUCAUGCAGGGUCAUUGGGGUCAAUGGGGCCAUGUGGGAUCGUUGGGAUCAUUGGGGUUAUAAGGUUCAUGUGAUGUCACUGAAGUCA
ensembl:lncRNA